CCUACGGGAGACAGCAGUGAGGAAUAUUGGUCAAUGGGCUUACGCCUGAACCAGCCAAGUCGCGUGAGGGAAGACUGCCCUAUGGGUUGUAAACCUCUUUUGUCAGGGAGCAACGCCGGCUACGUGUAGCCGGACUGAGAGUACCUGAAGAAAAAGCAUCGGCUAACUCCGUGCCAGCAGCCGCGGUAAUACGGAGGAUGCGAGCGUUAUCCGGAUUUAUUGGGUUUAAAGGGUGCGUAGGCGGAAUGCCAAGUCAGCGGUAAAAUCGCGGGGCUCAACCUCGCUCCGCCGUUGAAACUGGCGUUCUUGAGUGGGCGAGAAGUAUGCGGAAUUCCUAGUGUAGCGGUGAAAUGCGUAGAUAUUAGGAAGAACACCAGUGGCGAAGGCGGCUUUCUGGACUGAAACUGACGCUGAGGCUCGAAAGCGUGGGGAGCGAACAGGAUUAGAUACCCGGGUAGUC
rnacentral:rRNA from 1 species